rnacentral:rRNA from 1 species
GACGAACGCUGGCGGCGUGCCUAAUACAUGCAAGUCGAGCGCAGGAAAUCGACGGAACCCUUCGGGGGGAAGUCGACGGAAUGAGCGGCGGACGGGUGAGUAACACGUAAAGAACCUGCCCUCAGGUCUGGGAUAACCACGAGAAAUCGGGGCUAAUACCGGAUGGGUCAUCGGACCGCAUGGUCCGAGGAGGAAAGGCGCUUCGGCGGCGCCUGGGGAUGGCUUUGCGGUGCAUUAGCUAGUUGGUGGGGUAAUGGCCCACCAAGGCGACGAUGCAUAGCCGACCUGAGAGGGUGAUCGGCCACACUGGGACUGAGACACGGCCCAGACUCCUACGGGAGGCAGCAGUAGGGAAUCUUCCACAAUGGACGAAAGUCUGAUGGAGCAACGCCGCGUGAACGAUGGAGGCCUUCGGGUCGUAAAGUUCUGUUGUAAGGGAAGAACAAGUGCCGCAGGCAAUGGCGGCACCUUGUCGGUACCUUGCGAGAAAGCCACGGCUAACUACGUGCCAGCAGCCGCGGUAA